rnacentral:rRNA from 1 species
CAGCAGCCGCGGGAAUACGAAGGGUGCAAGCGUUAAUCGGAAUUACUGGGCGUAAAGCGCACGUAGGCGGCUUUGUAAGUUAGAGGUGAAAGCCUGGGGCUCAACUCCAGAAUUGCCUUUAAGACUGCAUCGCUUGAAUCAUGGAGAGGCGGGUGGAAUUCCGAGUGUAGAGGUGAAAUUCGUAGAUAUUCGGAAGAACACCAGUGGCGAAGGCGGCCCGCUGGACAUGUAUUGACGCUGAGGUGCGAAAGCGUGGGGAGCAAACAGGAUUAGAUACCCCCGUAGUCCCUGUCUCUUAUAC